ACCUACUGUUUAAUUUUGAGGGUUCGUUUUUACGAAUACUCAAAAUUAGCACUUUAAGCAACAGAAUAAACUGAACGCAUGUGAAGUUUGUUUGUUGGCGCUGUGCGUUAGCACUUUAAGCAACGGGAUUUAUCCGUUGGCGCUGUGCUUUAGCACUUUGAAAACUGCAUAUAUAUAUUUAGUGAUAUGACAUCUAAUUUGUAAUAUAUAAAGCUGAUAACUUUUUAAAAUUAUCGAAGUUGAUAGCUUCUAAUCUAUCAAACCUUUUUAACUGGUCAA
rnacentral:misc_RNA from 1 species